UCCUCCUCCUCCACCACCACCACCCUUUUUAGCAUUAACCAUAGGUCCAUUAAUCAUACCAUGAGGGCCACGAGCUCCAUGACCAUUGCCCAUCAUGGGCAUCAUUUUGUUAGGCAAAUGAUAACCCUGACCCUGACCCUGACCCUGACCCAGACCAUGUCCAUAACCAUGACCAAACUCCUCCUCCUCAUCAUCAUCAUCCUCAUCAUCACUAUCAUCUAAAAAUUC
rnacentral:misc_RNA from 1 species